GGGCAAACGCACUCUGUCCCAAGACCAUUAAUUCCAUGUUUUGGUGCAAUUUCUUCGUUUGCUAAAUUGAUCUGUACUCCAAUUUUAAUCAUGUCCUCGGGAUUAUUCUCUGUGAUCCCUAUAUGGGCACAUGAUUGGUUUACUAUACUU